AAUCCCAGCACUCAGGAGGCAUA
rnacentral:piRNA from 1 species